rnacentral:rRNA from 1 species
UACGUAGGGUGCAAGCGUUGUCCGGAAUUAUUGGGCGUAAAGAGCUCGUAGGCGGUUUGUCGCGUCUGCUGUGAAAACUCGGGGCUUAACCCCGGGCCUGCAGUGGGUACGGGCAGACUAGAGUGCGGUAGGGGAGACUGGAAUUCCUGGUGUAGCGGUGAAAUGCGCAGAUAUCAGGAGGAACACCGGUGGCGAAGGCGGGUCUCUGGGCCGUAACUGACGCUGAGGAGCGAAAGCGUGGGGGGCGAACAGG